GUUGAGGUGGCAGAGUCAGGCAAUUGCAUAAAACUUAAGCUUUUAUACCCAGAGGUUCAAAUCCCCUCCCCAACA
rnacentral:tRNA from 1 species